UAGUGUUAAUGUCUUGAGUACUACUGGAUGUUUCCAACAUUUUGUGAUCUCCUCCUCUAGGACUCGUUGCAUAAAUAUUGUGCUAUUAGGGGGGUAUCAGCUAAUUAAAUCAAAGUGCUCUUUGACACGGAGAUUCACAGACCUGUAAGCGAAUCUCACAUAUGAAAAAAAUCGUUGUUUUCUUUGCUUAAUUUGAUUGUGUAUAUUCCCGGAUAUUUAAAUAUCUUGCAAAUAAUUAUCUAAAUUUAUUGUGCAUGAUAUCUUGUCUACAAUGCAACUUUUAAAUAUUCCUGUUGGAGGAAAAAUAGAAAAUGAUAUCGGAAGUGACGAAGACUAUCAAGAUAGAAUAAUCAUUUACGUAAGCCCUUGUAUAGCUCAGUUUGCCGUGGCUCUAGCCGAUGACACUCUCUGGAAACCUGUCAACUAUCAAAUAAUGUUGAAGUCUCCUCAUAAUUCUCCCAAAGUGAGAUUUGCCACUUUGCAUGAAUUAGUUCAGAAAUUAGGAGAGAAUUAUCUGAUUUUAUUACCAGAAUCCAUUCCAUUCCUAGCAGAACUGAUGGAAGGCAGUUUUGGGUUGGAACAUCUUAGCCAUCCAAUGUCUUAGCCAUGUGAAAUUUAGAUGUACCGUAAUAUACAAAAUUUGGGUUAGCUACAAAUCAAAUGAACAUGAGCAGGAUGUGAAUACCUUUUCUUCAGCACAGACACAUCGAUAAUGAGACGUUUAAGCGAAGAGAGAAGCAGAG
rnacentral:misc_RNA from 1 species